CUUCCUGGAAAAUUUCCGAAGGACUGCUGGCUGGAAACUUAAGGCUAGUGUGGAUCUGACGGUAGUUUGCCAAAUUAAGAAAACGUUUUUACUCCAUUGAAGAUUUGCUUUAACUUCAAAAGCGAUUACAACAAAGUAUGGACACCCCUUCAGAGCCAACCUGGCCCAGCUGUAGCAUCAGCUGACUCCGUGGGGAAGCUCUGGCACUAGGAUGACCCUUUAAUCUUCACUGGAAGCAGACCCUCACCAGACACCAAAUCUGUUAACACCUUGAUCAUAGACUUCCCAACCUCCAGAAAUGUGAGAAACAAAUUUCUGUUGUUUAUACACUACCCAGUUUAAGGUUUUUGGUUAUAGCAGCCUGAAUGAGGUAAGUCACAGCUUAGGCAUUGGGGAUCGGAAUAUGAGAGAAGCGAUGCUGUGUUCUUCUCAUUGUAUUAAUACUGUAUCAGUAAACAUGUGGUGCUGAUUUGUCCCAUUACUGAUGAUAACACAUUUAUCACUCAUUUAAAGUGACAUCUUCCAGGUUUCUCAAUUGUAAAGUUUCUGUUUCUCUCUGGAGGGAGAUGUUUUUAGACUGUAAAUAUCCUGUUCCUCAAUAAUUACCCAUUCAUUUCAGCAUCCAUCCAUGGUUUUUACCUCAAUAUGUUCUUCUUAUAAUGACUGCCAAAUUGUAGUUUUCUCAUUUCAUCAUUCUUUCUA